rnacentral:rRNA from 1 species
UGAUCUAGCCAUGCCGCGUGUGUGAUGAAGGCCUUAGGGUCGUAAAGCUCUUUCGCCAGGGAUGAUAAUGACAGUACCUGGUAAAGAAACCCCGGCUAACUCCGUGCCAGCAGCCGCGGUAAUACGA